UACAGGGGGCUCAAGCGUUAAUCGGAAUCACUGGGCGUAAAGGGCGCGUAGGCGGCCGAUCAAGUCGGGGGUGAAAGCCUGUGGCUCAACCACAGAAUUGCCUUCGAUACUGUUUGGCUUGAGACCGGAAGAGGUUAGUGGAACUGCGAGUGUAGAGGUGAAAUUCGUAGAUAUUCGCAAGAACACCAGUGGCGAAGGCGGCUGACUGGUCCGGUUCUGACGCUGAGGCGCGAAAGCGUGGGGAGCAAACAGG
rnacentral:rRNA from 1 species